CAUAGGUCUUACUUUUGGAGGCUACCUUCAUUCAAAGAUAAGAUGCAUGAAGUGCCAUUACAAGUCAGAGCGACAUGAAAGAAUGAUGGAUCUUACUGUUGAAAUAGAAGGGGAUAUAGGGAAGCUUGAAGAUGCACUUAGACAAUUCACGGGUACUGAGAUUCUGGAUGGAGACAACAAAUACCAAUGUAGCAGAUGCAAAUCUUAUGAGAGAGCCAAGAAAAAGUUGACAAUACUGGAGGCUCCCAAUGUCCUCACAAUUGCAUUGAAGCGAUUUCAGUCAGGUAAAUUUGGAAAGCUCAAUAAGUCCAUUCGGUUCCCCGAGAUCCUGGAUUUAGCGCCAUAUAUGAGUGGCACAAGUGAUAAAUCGCCCAUAUACAGGCUUUACGGAGUGGUUGUCCACCAGGAUAACAUGAAUGCUUCAUUUUCCGGUCACUAUGUGUGCUAUGUUAAAAAUAUUCAGAACAAGUGGUUCAAGAUUGAUGACAGCACGGUAACACCUGU
rnacentral:misc_RNA from 1 species